UCUCUGGGUCAAUGAGCAAAAUGGGGAGUGAGCAGCAAUUCUUUUAAAUUCCCUGAUGUUGUUCCCAAUCCCCCCAGCUCCUACCCAACCACCUUGGGACUGCAGGGAGUGGGAUCAGUAGCUGUGCUGGCCCCAAUGUCCCACUAGGGGGCGCUGUGCUGCAGGGAGCAGGCUCAGUAGGCGGUGCUGUGCUGACCCCAGUGUGCUAUUAGGGGGCGCCAUGCUGCAGGGAGCGGGCUCAGUAGGAGGUGCUGUGCUGACCCCAAUGUGCCACUAGGGGGCGCUGUGAUGCAGGCAGCAGGCUCAGUAGGGGGUGCUGUGCUGUCCCCAGUGUGCAGCUAGGGGGCGCUGUGCUGCAGGCAGCGGGCUCAGUAGGGGGAGCUGUGCUGACCCCAAUGUGCCACUGGGAGCGCUGUGCUGCAGGGAGCAGGCUCAGUAGGGGGUGCUGUGCUGACCCCAGUGUGCCGCUAGGGGGCGCUGUGCUGCAGGCAGCGGGCUCAGUAGGGGGUGCUGUGCUGACCCCAAUGUGCUGUUAGGGGGCGCUGUGCUGCAGGCAGCAGGCUCAGUAGGAGGUGCUGUGCUGACCCCAAUGUGCUGUUAGGGGGCACUGUGCUGCAGGGAGCAGGGAGGAUGUGGGAGGCUCAGUACACCUGGCAGUCAGUGCUGACCCCAAUGCCCAGUGCA